GUUUGCGCGCCUUUUCUGCCUGAGAAUGGCGGCAAUUCUUGGCCAGUGCGCGACGACUCAGCCCCAGCUCUUGGGGUCCACGUACUUUAAAGCGAGCCAGCAUGCUCAACAAGUGGCUGGUGGCAUUAACGGUGACCCCAGCAAGAAGCUGGGCCGCUCUUACUUGCGAGUAGUCCCAGGAGCCAGCAGGCCUCGUUGCCAGUGAGUGUUUCACCGAUGGCUGCCCCUGCCCUGAGGCCGCUUUGACAACAGGCGUCACCCCAACAGGGUUGUAGCCAACAACCCCCACCCCCGCGCCCCAGCCACCCCAAACGCAGAGGCCUGAGGAACGGCUACCAUUUCUGGAUAACUUCCUGAACAGACUGUGUAGGUGCCUUCCGCGGUGCAGGCCCGCGCACAGGACAGACAGGGCCCUGCACCUGCAUUCUCCUCACAGCCAAGAUUCCACACGCUGUGAUUCCACGCACAGCUUUCUGGGCCCCCCUCUGUGCCAUCGCACAGCGUGAACAGUUGGUGCCCCUUCUUUUGAUAAUUCAAGAUUUCAGAGACAACAGAAUUCCUCUCGCAGCAGGGCCAAUGAAAUUUCUAACCUGCAGUUCUAGAAGAUGCCUUAGAAACCUGUGCCAUUUGUCAACCUCAUGAAUUCAUAAUAACUUUUAUUUGCUGAGAAAUGGAUUUACCUGCAGUCUUUUUCACUGUCUUGAUACAGUAGUGAGACAAGUUCACAAUAGAAUCUACAGUCCUGCCUCCCUUUCCUUUUCUCCGACCAACUAUCAGACUGCAUCCAAGAACUCCAGAAGACACAAAAAAAGCUGCCAUCACAUGAAGCUACUCAAGAAACUCUAUGGAGAAGGCCAUUGGCAAGGAACUUAGGCCUUCCACCAAAAAGCAGAGAGGAGCUGAGCGGCCUGCUGCCAGUAGUUAUAUUAAAACAAGAUCCCCCAUGACUGCAGCUUGUAAUUGAGUAGAGUGUUCUGAGGCUGCCACAGAGCAA